rnacentral:rRNA from 1 species
UUGGGAACUUGCCUUUGCGAGGGGGAUAACAGUUGGAAACGACUGCUAAUACCGCAUAAUGUCUACGGACCAAAGGGGGCUUUUAGCUCUCGCGUAAAGAGAGGCCCAAGUGAGAUUAGCUAGUUGGUGAGGUAAAGGCUCACCAAGGCGACGAUCUCUAGCUGUUCUGAGAGGAAGAUCAGCCACACUGGGACUGAGACACGGCCCAGACUCCUACGGGAGGCAGCAGUGGGGAAUAUUGCACAAUGGGGGAAACCCUGAUGCAGCCAUGCCGCGUGUGUGAAGAAGGCCUUCGGGUUGUAAAGCACUUUCAGUUGUGAGGAAAAGUUGGUGGUUAAUACC